CUCACAUAAGCAACUUAGAAUCACAAUUAUAUGAAUCUAAAAAUUCUCAAUUAAUCAUAAAAUUCCAGAAAUUAAUAUUCAUUCAAACACAUAUGUCAACUAGAACAAAACCAACGAAAUCAAAGCAAAGGUUACAAAGGAGAAUCGGAUUACACCGUGAGAUGGAGAUGAGAUGAACGAAUUGAGGAUGUGGUCUCUUGAAUCUCGAAAGCAAGCUUCAAGGAUGGUGAUGGAGGAUGAUGCUCACGGCAAUUCUUCUUCUCCCUUGGCCUUGCUUGAAAUGUUGAAUGCACUAGAGGAUGGAGAGAAAAUGGAAAGGAAAUGGAGAGACAAAGAAGAUGGAAUGGAUGAAGGAAUUUGAAUGUGUUUUGAGAGUGAGAGGAGAAGUGUAUUUAUAGCCCAAAAAAUGAUGAAUGGAGGGUGGAGAUGAACAUAAAUGAAGGGCUAGAUAUGUUAGACAAAUUUGUAAAAAAUAUCUUCCCACAUGUUUAUCACUUGUUCAACUUGAAUUGAUUUUCCUCCUCAAGUUUUUCCACUUGGUUGCAACUUUGAUUUUCCUCCUCAAGAUUUUCCACUUCCUUGCAACUUUGAUUUUCCUCCUCAAGAUUUUCCACUUGGUU
rnacentral:lncRNA from 1 species